ensembl:lncRNA
AGUUAAGAUGCACUGAAGAGAGAUUUUUAUAGAACUCUUCUUGGUUUUAAAUAUUCUGAAAGAUUAUUCUGUUAUCUUCAGGCAGUCACUAAAAAUGAAGGUACUACAUCCAAAGAAUUGGAUAUUUGCGACAUGUUGAAGAACUUAAAAGAGUAAAUGUGAAAGGUGCAAAGUAUCUUUUGAAGAAUAAGAGCUUCCUCUUUCUAAAAGAAAACUAACCAAGCAAGAUCUUUUGUCAUGAUUCCACAUUAACAUAAUAUCAAGAAAGGAAGUCCGCAAGGUUGAGAAUGAGAGAAAGGGGUUUCCCAUAGACAACUGAUUUUUUGAACACAGGUUUCUCUCUGUGCUUUUGAGUGAAAAUGACAAAGCACCGAUCAUGCUACACUAAAAAAAAAACAGCUAUUUUUGCUGCUUCUCAGGUCAACAUUUACAUAGGAAAAUCUUUGAGAACCACUCAGCAUUUCUCCCUUCUGCUGAUAAUGGAAGUCCUAAGAGGCUCACAGGCCAGAGAGAGCUUCAACCAAACAUUGUUCAGAUGAAUACGACACUCAGGAAGCACAAGCAGAUGGAGGAAAGAAACACAAGAGAGGAAUAUUAUUAGGUUGGUGCUGUUCUGUUCUCAAUGGCAGAAUUUUCAUUCCUCCAUGGGACCCAGAAGAUGAAUUUGAGGAUGAAAAAUGCAUUGAAGAUAUUCAAUUCAUUCUUUUUGUGCUAGUCAGUAAGAACUUAUGCUGGGUACUGUCACGAGCCUUGCUGACCUUGAAGAUCAAUCAUUUUUAUCACAGUAGGUGAUGGAGAAUUUGAGUAAAUUUGAAACUGUAUAUUAAAAAAUUAUUAAAAUCUUGUAGUGUGAUGAUCCAGGAGACACACAGUGUUAGGAAACAUUAAAACACUGAGGAGCAUUUCUGACUGUGCUCAGGAACACCAAGAGUAAAUUGCUAAAUUGGAGGGAGAUAUCCUUGACUGAUGGGCAACAAGGUAAAGGAUUCUUUUUAUUCUGCAGAGUGGAUCACUGUUGGCUGAAGACUGUGCCAUUCAGUUAAAUACAAGACAUUACUGGCUAUAUUACUGGCUACAAGAGAGUGAGGAAGGGUACUUACAGCUACAGUUUUAAAAACAUUUGUGUAAUAGAAUCAUAAAGGUUGGAAAAGACCACUAGUAUCAUCUAAUCCAAUGAUCAACCCAUUCCCACCAUACCCAUCAAACCAUGACCCUAAAUGCCACAUCCACACACUUCUUGAAUACCUCCAGGGGCGGUGAGUCCAUCACCUCCCUACACAGCCUUUUUCAAUACCUCACCACUCUUUCUAAGGAGCCAAAUAUCCAACCUGACUCUCUCCUGACACAAUCUAAGGCCACUACCUCUCAUCCUAUCGCUUCUUACUGGGAGAAGAGGCUGAACCCCCUCACCUCGCUACGAUCUCCUUUCAGGUUGCUGUAGAAUGACAUUAAAUGACAUUAAAGUCAGAGCUGAGUCAUCUGAAACUCCAGCCCAUAGCACUUAAUUUGGUGUCUAGAAUUUUGCUUGCAAUUUGCAAUAUCAGGGUAUCUUGGUCCUAUUUCCACUGCAGCAGUGAAAUACAGAACAACAAAUGACUACACUGAAGUACUCUUCAUAUCUCUGACCCAAAAGAAGGUUCUGUCACCGUAAAAGAGUAUUUUCCAGGGUAUUUGCUUUCAUGUACACCCCCACUGUGGGCUCCGCCAUUCAGAAACAUGAAUCUGAGAUCCUUACUAUCCAGCCACUUGUUUUGAGAUGUGCUUAAGCUUAUAAGCAUGUUUUAAAAAGACUUUUUUUUUUUUUUUAUCUCAAAGUGCUUUUAGUGGCACAAAGGUUUCAGCUGCAAGAAAUGAGAUUUCUUUCAUGAGUACAAUCUGCUGGUUUGGGUUUCUGUGCCUUCCUGCAAAGCAAUAUAUAUCUUGCUUUGUUCUCCA